GAUGAACGCUGGCGGCGUGCCUAAUACAUGCAAGUCGAGCGAACAGAUAAGGAGCUUGCUCCUUUGAAGUUAGCGGCGGACGGGUGAGUAACACGUGGGUAACCUACCUAUAAGACUGGGAUAACUUCGGGAAACCGGAGCUAAUACCGGAUAACAUUUAGAACCGCAUGGUUCUAAAGUGAAAGAUGGUUUUGCUAUCACUUAUAGAUGGACCCGCGCCGUAUUAGCUAGUUGGUAAGGUAACGGCUUACCAAGGCGACGAUACGUAGCCGACCUGAGAGGGUGAUCGGCCACACUGGAACUGAGACACGGUCCAGACUCCUACGGGAGGCAGCAGUAGGGAAUCUUCCGCAAUGGGCGAAAGCCUGACGGAGCAACGCCGCGUGAGUGAUGAAGGGUUUCGGCUCGUAAAACUCUGUUAUUAGGGAAGAACAAAUGUGUAAGUAACUGUGCACAUCUUGACGGUACCUAAUCAGAAAGCCGCGGCUAACUACGUGCCAGCAGCCGCGGUAAUACGUAGGUGGCAAGCGUUAUCCGGAAUUAUUGGGCGUAAAGCGCGCGUAGGCGGUUUCUUAAGUCUGAUGUGAAAGCCCACGGCUCAACCGUGGAGGGUCAUUGGAAACUGGGAAACUUGAGUGCAGAAGAGGAAAGUGGAAUUCCAUGUGUAGCGGUGAAAUGCGCAGAGAUAUGGAGGAACACCAGUGGCGAAGGCGACUUUCUGGUCUGUAACUGACGCUGAUGUGCGAAAGCGUGGGGAUCAAACAGGAUUAGAUACCCUGGUAGUCCACGCCGUAAACGAUGAGUGCUAAGUGUUAGGGGGUUUCCGCCCCUUAGUGCUGCAGCUAACGCAUUAAGCACUCCGCCUGGGGAGUACGACCGCAAGGUUGAAACUCAAAGGAAUUGACGGGGACCCGCACAAGCGGUGGAGCAUGUGGUUUAAUUCGAAGCAACGCCGAAGAACCUUACCAAAUCUUGACAUCCUUUGAAAACUCUAGAGAUAGAGCCUUCCCCUUCGGGGGACAAAGUGACAGGUGGUGCAUGGUUGUCGUCAGCUCGUGUCGUGAGAUGUUGGGUUAAGUCCCGCAACGAGCGCAACCCUUAAGCUUAGUUGCCAUCAUUAAGUUGGGCACUCUAGGUUGACUGCCGGUGACAAACCGGAGGAAGGUGGGGAUGACGUCAAAUCAUCAUGCCCCUUAUGAUUUGGGCUACACACGUGCUACAAUGGACAAUACAAAGGGCAGCUAAACCGCGAGGUCAUGCAAAUCCCAUAAAGUUGUUCUCAGUUCGGAUUGUAGUCUGCAACUCGACUACAUGAAGCUGGAAUCGCUAGUAAUCGUAGAUCAGCAUGCUACGGUGAAUACGUUCCCGGGUCU
rnacentral:rRNA from 1 species